GUCAUCUUAUCGGUGAGAUCAUUGUAGAGAUGCAUGAGUGGUCCAGAUGUCAGGAGCAAGAGGCUGCUGGGUGACUGCUGGGCUGGAUUGACACAUCUUAAGAGAAGAUAAGAAAGCAGAGAGAAUCAGAAUGAUCCAACGGAAAUCCUUUGUUGCAUAUUCCUGUAAAGUUCAUCUCCUUCGCCUCAUUUAUCACACUGGCAUCUGUCUUACCAAGGACAUUUCAUCCCUGUCGCUCUGUCAUGCUGCAUGUGUGUAUUUGCACCCAUCUGACCGGCUCUGGCAGGAACGACAGAGCCUUUCUCACUCGUCUGAAAUGACAUGACUAUCCCUUGAGGUGUGAUGGCCAGCGUCCUUGUAAGCAAAAAUAAAGGGUUUACACAGUGAUACCGCAGAAGGACAAGCUUGGAACCCCCAAAGAAAUGUUCGCAUUUAAAAGAACCAUUCUUUCUCC